rnacentral:rRNA from 1 species
CCUACGGGAGGCUGCAGUGAGGAAUAUUGGUCAAUGGCCGGAAGGCUGAACCAGCCAAGCCGCGUGAGGGAGGAAGGCGCAGAGCGUCGCAGACCUCUUUUGCCGGGGGACAAAAGUCCGGACUCGUCCGGUCCUGAGGGUACCCGGAGAAAAAGCAUCGGCUAACUCCGUGCCAGCAGCCGCGGUAAUACGGAGGAUGCGAGCGUUAUCCGGAUUCAGUGGGUUUAAAGGGUGCGCAGGCGGGCCUUUAAGCCGGCGGUGAAAUCGCGGGGCUCAACCCCGCCGCGCCGGCGGAACUGGGGGCGUUGAGUGCGGUGGAGGAAUGCGGAAUGCGCGGUGUAGCGGUGAAAUGCAUAGAUAUCGCGCAGAACCCCGAUUGCGAAGGCAGCGUGCUGUGCCGCCACUGACGCUGAGGCACGAAAGCGCGGGGAUCGAACAGGAUUAGAUACCCUAGUAGUC